rnacentral:tRNA from 1 species
ACCUGAUGAUCAUAGCUCAGUUGGUAAGAGCACUGCGCCAGCAUCGCAGAAGUCAUAGAUUCGAAUCCCGUUGAAGGCA